rnacentral:tRNA from 2 species
GCUUCAAUCGAUUAACGGUUAAAUCACGCCCUUCACACGGGCGAGCCCCCGGUUCGAUUCCGGGUUGAAGCA